AAUGAACGUUGGCGGCGUGGAUUAGGCAUGCAAGUCGAGCGAGAAGAGUUUGGUAGCUUGCUAUUGAACUCGGAAAGCGGCGAAAGGGAGAGUAACGCGUAGUCACGUGCCCCAGGGUUCGGAAUAGCCACGGGAAACUGUGGGUAAUGCCGAAUAACAUCGCCGGAUCAAAGGUGUGAUUCCGCCCUGGGAGCGGACUGCGUCCUACUAGCUAGUUGGCGGGGUAAUGGCCCACCAAGGCAACAAUGGGUAGCGGGUGUGAGAGCAUGACCCGUCUCACUGGGACUGAGACACUGCCCAGACACCUACGGGUGGCUGCAGUCGAGAACCUUCGGCAAUGGGCGAAAGCCUGACCGAGCGACGCCGCGUGCGGGAUGAAGGCCCUCGGGUUGUAAACCGCUGUCGUAGGGGAGGAAGGCUCCAUGAAGAAUGGGGUUUGACCUAUCCUAGGAGGAAGUACGGGCUAAGUUCGUGCCAGCAGCCGCAGUAA
rnacentral:rRNA from 1 species